AGCACUUUGGAGCAGGGACUCAAUGACCUAAAGACUUACGCAGGCUACAAUGAGAAAUAACUAGUUGUGUCACCAGUUUCAGUGCAGGCAGAAGGCAUUCCUGGCUCUUAUGACUUCUGAAAUGCAUCCAUCUUACCACUUUCAGACCAGUGAUGGUGUGAUUCCCUGGCCUUCUGACCUAGUUGUGACAAGUACUUUCAUCAUCAAAACAGGAUCAAUUCUGCAGUCCAUCUAUGCCUUCCUAUCACCACUACACAUGGAAAGUGAGAGGAUAAAUAUUGCUUCACGUUAUACCUAUGUACAUGCCUGUGUACAGAAGACAUUUGUAAGCUCUCCCACUGGUCACCCGGGGCCCUGUCCCAAAAGUGGGACGUGCUGCUGUGGCAGCAAGCAGCAGGACUCGUACAUGGUGUGACAUUCCCAGUUGGCAUACACGGCAAAAAUAAGAGGCUGUAGUUUCAGAUGGUCUGAUAAUCACCUCACCUGCUUUUAUAUGCACCAUCUUCACAAGUAUAUCAACUUGAAGUCUGAUUUGUGUCGCUCAGAGCAACAGUGACAAAUACAUAAAAUUCUCAUAUGACAACUAAUUUUUUGCUUAUUAUGCACAAAUCCUCGUAGAACAAUAGACUCUAACAGCUGGAAUUUAUCCUCUUGAGAACAAUCGUAUUUAAUUACUUUCUUACAAGGCUUUUAUAUGUCACUGGAAUUUUGACAAAUUUAACAUAUACAUGACAGCAGAGUAUGAAGGGUUCAUUCCUCUGUCCAGUCGGGGUUAGAAGACAGCUAUCACUGAGUUAAAUGAGACAGAAUUUGGGAUUAUAUUGCUCAGCUUUUAAAAAAUAUCUCUGGUCCUACUCAAAAGAUUUGGGACCACUGUAUAAAAAUUGUAUGUUUUGUUUGUCUAACACUGAUUUUAAUUGCAGCUAAUUAGUAUUGGACUGUUUACAUACCCAUCUGUCUAGGGAUGAGAGACUGAUGUUAUCUGGUUGAUGAUACACAUUCCAGCUGUUGGAAUGGUGCAGUGUUUGAAAGUUAAUUAAAAAAGAAACAGAAUAUAAGUAACAAAAUACUUAGUUUAAAAUGCUGUUAAAACAUCACAGUUGUUAAAUUCAAACUGAACUGAUCUAAACAUAAUUUUAUCAUGUUCUUUUUCACCAUCUGUAUGAAAAUCUCAGAACACAGAUCUUAUCCUUUUAUUGUUAAAUGACACUUUUUGAACCAGCCCUGACUACAGAGUGGUUUAACUUUGAAUUGCCAUGCUUAUUUGUUAAGAGUACUAAGUAAAGCCCCAUAUAAUCUAAAACAUCAAAUCAUAUGGCCAUGAAAAUGGGACUUAAAAUGGAAAUGGCAGCUGAACGUCAACUGAAAUAGAUAUGUCGGAGUAACAAUUAUGUGCCUAAUUUUUAAGUCUUCAGAUGAUUCAUUUAGGCAGGAGUUGCCAG